UCUCAUCUCCUCCUCCUUCCCUUUCGCUACCACGUCUCCUUUUCCUUCUCCUUCAAGCCCACCACGAAGACCACCACGAACACCACCACGGAAACCACCACGAGCACAUGCAACACCACGAACCGGUGAAGAAUCAAGGUGUUGCUUUUGGAAUUUUGAUUUCAAUGUUGUAGUUUUUUUAUUCUUUGAUGUGUAAUUUUUUUUUUCUUUCAUGUUAUAAUGUUUUUUUUUCUAGAUUUUGAUGUUAUAAUUUAUUUUAUUUUUUUGUAUUGUAAAAUAACAAUUUAAUCAUCAAUAUAUUUCGUAUUAUUCAAGCUUGUUAUAUGUU